CAACUUUCAACAACGGAUCUCUUGGUUCUGGCAUCGAUGAAGAACGCAGCGAAAUGCGAUAAGUAGUGUGAAUUGCAGAAUUCAGUGAAUCAUCGAAUCUUUGAACGCACAUUGCGCCCCUUGGUAUUCCAUGGGGCAUGCCUGUUCGAGCGUCAGUUGUACC
rnacentral:rRNA from 1 species